GACGAACGCUGGCGGCGUGCCUAAUACAUGCAAGUAGAACGCUGAAGGAGGAGCUUGCUCUUCUGGAUGAGUUGCGAACGGGUGAGUAACGCGUAGGUAACCUGCCUGGUAGCGGGGGAUAACUAUUGGAAACGAUAGCUAAUACCGCAUAACAGUAGAUGUUGCAUGACAUUUACUUAAAAGGUGCAAUUGCAUCACUACCAGAUGGACCUGCGUUGUAUUAGCUAGUUGGUGGGGUAACGGCUCACCAAGGCGACGAUACAUAGCCGACCUGAGAGGGUGAUCGGCCACACUGGGACUGAGACGCGGCCCAGACUCCUACGGGAGGCAGCAGUAGGGAAUCUUCGGCAAUGGACGGAAGUCUGACCGAGCAACGCCGCGUGAGUGAAGAAGGUUUUCGGAUCGUAAAGCCCUGUUGUAAGAGAAGAACGAGUGUGAGAGUGGAAAGUUCACACUGUGACGGUAUCUUACCAGAAAGAGACGGCUAACUACGUG
rnacentral:rRNA from 1 species